CGGGACUAGAACCUACCUAUGUUUCUGGAUGCUGCUUCUCCUGGAGGUGGCCCACACCUGAAGAAGCCCCCUUCCAUCUGCAUCAGGAAUGAGCAGGAUUGCAGGGUGGAAGGACCAGUUGUUCACACCCAGGAGGAGCUGCUGGUAUGCCUGCCUUUCCAUACUCUUCCUCAGAAUCUGUAUGGUGCAAUGAUCAGCUGGAAGUUCAAGCCCUUUGUGUGUUUACCCUGGACGCCGACUUUGACCCUGCGGUAGGGCUUCAAAGCUCCCAGCUCCUCUGCAAGGUGCGGCAGCAGCUCCGCUCGCAGACGGCUUCAGCUGGUUCAGGAUGAACGGUGUUGUGGGUGGGCGAGGAAGUAGCUGAGGAUGGUCUCCGGACAGAGCAAGCCCUGUGUCCUCAGUGUUUUGCCUUUUCCCAAGGAUGGUCUCCACGGCCCUUCUCCAUCCCUUGCCCCGGACACCACCGAUAUCUUUCUUCAAGGAGGCUGAGCAUGGCCAAGGGGGAGAGGAGCCUCCCUGCUCCGCCAACUGGUUUCAAUGGCCAAAGGAGAAGCUGGGGCUGGAGAAGAGAACCCCAAGAGGAGGAGACCGACGUACAGAGGAGCCUUUGCUGCUGCCAGCACCCCAAGCAGGAGGGCUGCAGCUCAGCCCACCGGUGGCCAUGCUCGGUGGCAGCUGCACCGACACCACCGAGGGGCAAUGCCAGCCCAGCGCGGGGCUCCCUUUGCUGCCAGGAAUUUGCACAGAUCUAUUAAACGGGAUGUAAUGAAGCCACUGAAUCCUCACAACUUCCUUGCAAACCCCUCCUCUCAAAUGAAGCCACCGGGAAGGUGUCCGCUGCUGUCCCCGUGUCCCCAUGGUGGCUGGGGCUGGUGGCCGGAGGAGGGUGAGGACCGGGUGAGUUUCCAAGCAGGGAUGCAGGCAGCAGGUAAAGGUGACCCACACACAGGGUAUCGCUGUGAAGCCACCCCGGCCAGCCACGGAGCAGCUACGCUGCCCUGAGGGGAGACACGCGGGACGCUGUUCCGGACGAGGAAUGCGCUUAGACACCAGCUCCGCUUUUGGGCCAGCACACAGGACUGGACCAGCACACAGGACUGGGCCAGCACACCAGCCCACCAGGGAGCAAUGAGCCUCCUCCACGGUGCUGCUGCCAGCGUUAAGGCACUAACUGCCCUGCUGUCACGGCGGGGCUUUGGCGCACGGUGUCAAUACCCACUCUGCGGAGUGAGGGCUCCAGCCUCUGUGACCCCAGCAUCUCCUCUCCCCGCACCGAACCCCACCUGCUUCUCCAGCCCCUGAAGCUCUUUGCAGUGUUCAGGGUUUCUCACCUGCCUUGCUACAGGCUGCGUUUCAGCAAAGGAUGGAUGCCUUGGCAUUAGUCAGAGCCCCUUACCAAUGUCCGUGACACCAGAUUAACUUAUGGCAGAGAAGGGGAGCCCAGCUAGUGAUAUCAUUCCAACCAAGAGGAAAGCCUGGAAAACUGGAGCACUAGGAAAACUUACUAAUCUGCUUUGGUUUGGUUUUUAAAUUUUCUUGGCUUUUUACAGUCUUUGUGGUGAUUAGUACGUAUUUCUGAACCCGACCAGGCUGUGCCGCACCACACAUCCCUAGAAACACUCUGCUGGCACCUUGGUGUUAGUUAUCGGUAAGAAAUGUGCAGGGACAUCGCUCCUUGAUGCUCUGGGCUUCACUGCAAGGACCCCCAGGAGAGAGUUUCCCUGGAAGAGGCUGCAAGGGCCAGGCUGGGAGCUGAAAUCAAAUGCCUCCAGAGCUGGAGCAUCACCAGGGAGCCGGGCCAAGAGCCGUCCUGCACAGUGCAGCCCCUGCCGCUGUUUGCCAUCCUUCUGCAGAGCAGGCUGCCUUGUCAACAUUCCUGGCAGGUGCCGGGUUAUUUAUAGCCAGUUCGUUUUCAUUUUCCUCAUAGCAGGGAUGAGAUCCGACACAGAGAUUUCACUCCUGGGGGAAUCUGUCUCAUUUCCACCACGGGAGAGCUCAGCACCUCCUGCAAAUGAAUGACUUACUGAGACAUGAGCCCACAGAAGCGGCACAGGGACACGCUUCUUAUCGAGGAUUCAUGUCAUUUCAGUGCCUGCUACUCCUCCCUGGUUUGUGCUGCUGUGCACACAGUGUUCCAGCUGUGCCAGAUGUAGUGGUGGCACAGCCACUCUCGUCCCUUCAACCACUCGGGAUGUGCUGCUGCCAGAUGCUGACCAAAUGUGUUGCUCUGUGAGCAUCUUGCAUGCCCACCCAGAAAAUGGCUUGGUGAGGAUUUGGAGGUUGUUUUCAUGUUUUUAGUGGCUCCCAUGAGGCAACCCAGACUGGGGCACCGAGCGCCUCAAGCCAUCUGGCUUCCGGGCAGAUUUGCUGCCCUGGCCCAAGCAUUGCUCAAAGCCAGGCACCGGUGCAGGGGCAGGCAGCCAGGGAAGGAAAGAAGCUUUCAGCUGCCCCUGCUUCCCUCUACCACAGAGCCCUACGUGUGCCUCACAGGGGUUUGCUUCCCUCAUCCUUUGGCCAGGGCACAAAGACUCUGAAGGCCAGCAAAGUGAAAUGACAGGUAUGUUUGUCCCAGCUGCAAGGGAAUGUAAUGGAAAAGUUCAGUUGGAAGAGACCUACAAGGAUCAUCUAACCCAGCUGCCUGGCAGUGCUAGGUGAUGCUAAGGUGAUGCUCUUAGAAAACGUGACCCAGACCAGCCAUGCUCCAGCACUGCAAAGUGAUGCUUUUUAAGAAGGAACCCAUGUUUCUGCUGCCCGGCCCUUGCUGGCACUGGGUGGCACUUGGCACCGGUGUGAAAGGCAACACGCCAGGUGAGGACGGCGAGUGGGAGCUGCCAGCUCAGCAGUGAGGUGAUGGCUGUCUCUGGCCACAGAGAUGUCCUUGAGGCCAUUCCUCCCUGUUAGCAAGAAAAGAGCAGAAAAAAACCUCGCACCAACACAAACCAUGUUUAAAACUAGGACUUCUUUAAAGACAAAGAUCCACUGUGCACUUGCAAUUUAUGAAUUGCUGUUUAUAUCUAAUGUUACCUUAAGUGCUCUAUCUGCUAUAUUUAGCUCACACGACGACUGGAAGAUGCCCCACAACAGCAGCACCCAAUUCAAACCCACAGCGUUUCCAGGACUGCACACGCACUCCCACGGCACGUGCUCACUGGGAGCUGGGCACAAACCCGGCAGCAUGAAGCCAGGCCCCCAAACCUGGGCGCCCCCGUGCCCUGUGCAUGGUGGUGUCACGAGAGGGCUCGGGGCCACGGGCACACCAAAAUACUCUCCAGCACAAAUCACCUGCGGGGAUGAUUUCUCUGCCGCUCACCAGGCAGAGUUGGUGCUGCCCAAGCCCUGGGGGGGGCACAGUGCCCUACACCCUCACCAGUACCUCAGUCAUUCAGCUCCUCUACAAUUACUAUUAAUGUGUUAAUUAAAAUGCAUUAUUUACCUAAAAUAUACCAGUAAUGGCUUAUUAAUUAUAUAUAAUAUCUCUCAAUGGCUAAUUACUUUAUACCGUGUCCAAAGUGGUGAAGGUGUUUUUCAAAUAUUAAAAAGUCUGAUUCCUGAUUUUAUCCCAGUGGCCUUGGAGGUUUUGAAAGUCUAAUGCCAAUAUAGGUAAAACAUGCAGAAAUAGGAGUGGGGCUCCAGAAAAGCGAGUUAAAUCCUUUGUAACUAGAAGACUCUGCAAAAUGAAAUGCCAGUGAUCGAUUAGGUACGCUUUGAAAUGUUGCAAUUUUGCAACAUCAGAGAGAGGUGAAACCCCACAGUCCCCAUCUGCCUUCCCUGCCUCUGACCCCCAAGUGAUCAUGACCAAAAAACACAUGCCAUGGGCCCGAUCCUGCCCAGACUCUGUGCAGGCAGAUGCCCGGGCAUGGGCAGAGCUGGCUGCAGGAACCAUGGCUGUGUCAGGCACCAGCACAGCCCAGUGUAUCUUAUGUAGACCAGUGGUCACAGGCUUGUGCCCUGCUGAAGAUGUCACCUUCCCGCAGCCACUCAAGGGAUGUCUUGAGCAGAGAGCCUCAGACUUCAGCGAUCUUCAUCUGGAACCUGAGCAGUGCCAUGAACAGAUCCCGCCUGGGAAAUACAGGAGGAUUUGGGAGUUGCAGGAUUUUUUUCCUUUACAGCAGAGUAUUACUUGAGGCCAGUUUUUAUACACGCGAAGAUUCAGACAGGCACCUAAUGGAGUUUUCAGCACUGCCUGACUCGCAUUGAUUUCACGCCUAUCUACACCUUUCAGGGCUUAAACACACAGAAGAAUCUGGCCGGAGGAUCUCUGUUGCAGCAUAUUUUGGCAGGACUUUCACUCAAGAUGUCGGGCCAAAUCCUCAGCUAACAUAAAUCACUGACACAAGUGGAACUAUGCUGAUUUGCACCAGUCACAGACGUUAAAUUAAAAUUUAAUUGAAAACUUAAGCUGUCAUUAAUUUUCAAUGAAUGGCUUUUGCAAGAAUGCAGCCAGAUCUCCACCAGUUCAGUCUCCUGUGU